CAUCUAUUAGGUUGGUGCAAAAGUAAUUGCUGUUUUUGCCACUAAUUUAAUUGCAAAACCUCAAUUACUUUUGCACCAACCUAAUA
rnacentral:miRNA from 1 species